rnacentral:rRNA from 1 species
CGCGGCCUAUCAGCUUGUUGGUGAGGUAAUGGCUCACCAAGGCUUCGACGGGUAGCCGGCCUGAGAGGGCGACCGGCCACACUGGGACUGAGAUACGGCCCAGACUCCUACGGGAGGCAGCAGUGGGGAAUAUUGCACAAUGGGCGAAAGCCUGACGCAGCGACGCCGCGUGGAGGAUGAGGCCCUUCGGGGUGUAAACUCCUGUUGCCCGGGACGAAUGGCGGACAUGGGUCCGUGUGACGGUACUGGGUGAGGAAGCACCGGCUAACUCUGUGCCAGCAGCCGCGGUAAUACAGAGGGUGCGAGCGUUGUCCGGAAUCACUGGGCGUAAAGGGCGCGUAGGCGGCCGAGUAAGUCGUGUGUGAAAGACCGGGGCUCAACUCCGUGUACUGCAUGCGAUACUGCCCGGCUAGAGAAAGGUAGAGGCGAGUGGAAUUCCCGGUGUAGCGGUGGAAUGCGUAGAUAUCGGGAAGAACACCUGUGGCGAAGGCGGCUCGCUGGGCCUUUUCUGACGCUGAAGUGCGAAAGCGUGGGGAGCAAACAGGAUUAGAUACCCUGGUAGUCCACGCCGUAAACGAUGGGCACUAGGCGUUGGGAGGAUUGACCCUCUCAGUGCCGUAGCUAACGCGUUAAGUGCCCCGCCUGGGGAGUACGG